rnacentral:rRNA from 1 species
GAUGAACGCUGGCGGCGUGCCUAAUACAUGCAAGUCGAGCGAAUGGAUUAAGAGCUUGCUCUUAUGAAGUUAGCGGCGGACGGGUGAGUAACACGUGGGUAACCUGCCCAUAAGACUGGGAUAACUCCGGGAAACCGGGGCUAAUACCGGAUAAUAUUUUGAACUGCAUGGUUCGAAAUUGAAAGGCGGCUUCGGCUGUCACUUAUGGAUGGACCCGCGUCGCAUUAGCUAGUUGGUGAGGUAAUGGCUCACCAAGGCAACGAUGCGUAGCCGACCUGAGAGGGUGAUCGGCCACACUGGGACUGAGACACGGCCCAGACUCCUACGGGAGGCAGCAGUAGGGAAUCUUCCGCAAUGGACGAAAGUCUGACGGAGCAACGCCGCGUGAGUGAUGAAGGCUUUCGGGUCGUAAAACUCUGUUGUUAGGGAAGAACAAGUGCUAGUUGAAUAAGCUGGCACCUUGACGGUACCUAACCAGAAAGCCACGGCUAACUACGUGCCAGCCGCCGCGGUAA